UACGUAGGGGGCGAGCGUUAUCCGGAUUCAUUGGGCGUAAAGCGCGCGUAGGCGGCCGCCUAAGCGGAACCUCUAACCCCGGGGCUCAACCUCGGGCCGGGUUCCGGACUGGGCGGCUCGAGUGCGGUAGAGGAGAGCGGAAUUCCCGGUGUAGCGGUGGAAUGCGCAGAUAUAUGGAAGAACACCAGUGGCGAAGGCGGCCGCCUGGCCUGUUACUGACGCUGAGGCACGAAAGCGUGGGGAGCAAAUAGG
rnacentral:rRNA from 1 species